rnacentral:rRNA from 1 species
AACGAGCGCUGGCGGCCGGCUCAACACAUGCAAGUCGAACGCCCCGCCAGGGGAGUGGCAGACGGGUGAGUAACGCGUGGGAACGCGCCCUUCGCUUCGGAAUAGCCCCGGGAAACUGGGAGUAAUACCGAAUACGCCGUAUUGGCAGAGAUUUACCGCCAAAGGAUCGGCCCGCGUUAGAUUCGCUAGUUGGCGGUGUAAUGGACCACCAAGGCUACGAUCUAUAGCUGGUCUGAGAGGAUGAUCAGCCACACUGAGACUGAGACACGGCCCAGACCCCUACGGGAGGCAGCAGUGGGGAAUCUUGGACAAUGGGCGCAAGCCUGAUCCAGCCAUGCCGCGUGAGUGAAGAAGGCCUUAGGGUUGUAAAACUCUUUCGCCGGAGUAGGUAAUGACGGUAUCCGGAGAAGAAGCCCCGGCUAACCUCGUGCCAGCCGCCGCAGUAA